AAUUCUAUUUUUACAGAAUGAACAAUUUCACAAAUAGGAGGUCUGCUAGUGGCUGUCCCCAUGGAAGGCAUGCACAGCCCCUGCCUUGCAUACAGGUGGCCAACAGGAGCUGACAGUGCCCUCUCCAGAGCACCUCCAGCCCUUCAGGGCUCUGCAUCAGGAAAAUGCACUGAGUAUUAAUAUGCGUGACCAUUAAGAACUGAUGGGAAGAAAAACAGCAAGAAAUCUAUCCUGGACAAACUGAAUUCAGUCAAUGAGGGUGAAACUUAAUUAUGUUUGCAGACUAGUAGUCCAAUGGCAUCACUUUUGCACAUUAAUAUCACUAUAAAAGAACCACCAUAGAGACCUCUCCUCCCAUUUUUGGAAUGCCCACAUCAUAGACCCAUGGUGUUAAACUUGUGAGUUUCUUUUCCAAGUCAA
rnacentral:lncRNA from 12 species